GUGCUUGUUUCAGCAGCACAUACACUAAAAGUGGAACAAUACAUAGAAGAUUAGCAUGGCCCUUACAUAAGGAUGACAUACAAAUCUGCAAAGCGUUUCAAAUUUUU